rnacentral:rRNA from 1 species
UGGGGAAUCUUGCACAAUGGGGGCAACCCUGAUGCAGCGACGCCGCGUGAGCGAUGAAGCCCUUCGGGGCGUAAAGCUCUUUCGACCGGAACGAUAAUGACGGUACCGGGAGAAGAAGCUGCGGCUAACUACGUGCCAGCAGCCGCGGUAAUACGUAGGCAGCAAGCGUUGUUCGGAAUUACUGGGCGUAAAGCGUACGUAGGCGGAUGCGCAAGUUGGGGGUGAAAUCCCGGGGCUUAACCUCGGAAUUGCCCUCAAAACUGCACGUCUUGAGACCGAGAGAGGUAAGGGGAAUUCCUAGUGUAGAGGUGAAAUUCGUAGAUAUUAGGAAGAACACCAGUGGCGAAGGCGCCUUACUGGCUCGGUACUGACGCUGAGGUACGAAAGCGUGGGGAGCAAACA